GGUGAUCAGUCAUAGAUGAGGUAUUAAGCUGAGAUUCUAUAGCUGAGAUAACAGGCGAUGUAGAAUAAAUGCCAGGUGGCCAGGAUUUGACAGUUGAUACGAGAUCCUUGUAAAAAGAUGGAUUUGUUGCCAAAGCAACAAGAGCUACCUCAUAAGCUGUAUCACGCAAUAUUGGAUUUUCUGUUGGGAUGUACGGGACCAACACAGGCAGUUGGCGCAGAUGUGCAAAAUGGAAAACCCAUCUUUCCCAUGCGGAAGGUGAUCCUCGCAACAAUUUUGGACAUAGAGAUGCCGCUUCACCAUACUUCCUUUCCACAAUCAGAUGAUCGAGGUAUCUCGAACCCACCUCAUCAACGAGCUCACUCCUUCCCUGAUUGGCCUCAACUGCUUCUAAAGCUUUCUCAUGCCAUCCAUGCUGGAGAAGCCAAUUAAUGUGAUCCUCUGCAUCCCGUGGUUUUGCAAUAACCACAUCCUUGGGGGACACAAUAUAGUAUAAGGGUUCAUCACCAGCAGCCCACUGCCCUCCUGCAUAGCUACUACCAGAGAAUGGAGCAUGAGCCAACGAAUAGUCUUUGGCCUUGUAGUGCUCAAAGCCAUGUACAGGAAGAGCGUCCGUCGCG
rnacentral:misc_RNA from 1 species